rnacentral:rRNA from 1 species
AUUGAACGCUGGCGGCAUGCUUUACACAUGCAAGUCGGACGGCAGCGGGGUAGUGCUUGCACUACUGCCGGCGAGUGGCGCACGGGUGAGUAAUAUAUUGGAACGUACCGAGUAAUGGGGGAUAACCAAUCGAAAGAUUGGCUAAUACCGCAUACGCUCUGAGGAGGAAAGCAGGGGACCUUCGGGCCUUUCGUUAUUCGAGCGGCCAAUGUCUGAUUAGCUAGUUGGUGGGGUAAGGGCCUACCAAGGCGACGAUCAGUAGCGGGUCUGAGAGGAUGAUCCGCCACACUGGGACUGAGACACGGCCCAGACUCCUACGGGAGGCAGCAGUGGGGAAUUUUGGACAAUGGGCGCAAGCCUGAUCCAGCCAUGCCGCGUGUCUGAAGAAGGCCUUCGGGUUGUAAAGGACUUUUGUUAGGGAAGAAAAAGGAGCGGUUAAUACCCGUUUCUGCUGACGGUACCUAAAGAAUAAGCACCGGCUAACUACGUG